rnacentral:rRNA from 1 species
UACAGAGGGGGCAAGCGUUGUUCGGAAUUACUGGGCGUAAAGGGCGCGUAGGUGGCCUUCUAAGUUGAACGUGAAAUCCCUGGGCUCAACCCAGGAACUGCGUCCAAGACUGGGAGGCUUGAAUCCGGGAGAGGGAUGCGGAAUUCCAGGUGUAGCGGUGAAAUGCGUAGAUAUUGGGAGGAACACCAGUGGCGAAGGCGGCUCACUGGACCGGUACUGACGCUGAUGCGCGAAAGCGUGGGGAGCAAACGGG